UGAAUUUUAAAUUAAUUGUUAAAUUAAAUUAAUUUAAAUUAUUAAUAAAUACAAAAUAUUAUUUUAAAAUUUAU
rnacentral:tRNA from 1 species